rnacentral:rRNA from 1 species
GCCCUUAUGGGUUGGGCUACACACGUGCUACAAUGAAAAUGACAAAAAGUAACAAUAAUAAAAAUUUUUAGUUAAUCUUAAAAAGUUUUCUUAGUUCGAAUUGUAAGCUGCAACUCGCUUACAUGAAGGUGGAAUCACAAGUAAUCGCAAAUCAGAAUGUUGCGGUGAAUACGUACCUUGGCUUUGUACACACCGCCCGUCACAUGCAGAAAGCUAGUUUUAUUUGAAGAUUAAAUUUUCUUUUAUUUUUUUUUUAAAAUAAAAAAGUUAGUUCAUUGAAAAAUUAGUAAUUUGGAUGAAGUCGUAACAAGGUAGCUGUACGGGAACGUGUAGCUGGAACACC